AAUGUAAUUCCAAGAUAUGCAUUCACAACUUGGUUUUAGAUUUAUGAAUCAAGAGUAAUAUUGUCCGUAGCUGAAAACAAAAGUAAGCAUUGCGAUGUGUGGCUUAGCGUCCACAAUGGACUGAAUGAUUUGAUUGGUUCAUUUGAUAAAUUCAUCCAAAAGCUUGUCCAAGCCCUAAAACACCCACCCAGUUGUGGACAAAGAUCACACAAAAAGGAAAAAACGACAGCAGCUUUGAGAUAAUAUAGAACCAAAAUAGAUCCCAAAUAUAGUUUGUAAGCCACAAAGUUUUAAUCAUAAAAACAAAGUAAAGAAAACAAAAUAUCCACAAUGUAAUGACAUACAAAUCAAC
rnacentral:lncRNA from 1 species